rnacentral:rRNA from 1 species
GAUGAACGCUGGCGGCGUGCCUAAUACAUGCAAGUCGAGCGAACAGAUAAGGAGCUUGCUCCUUUGACGUUAGCGGCGGACGGGUGAGUAACACGUGGGUAACCUACCUAUAAGACUGGGAUAACUUCGGGAAACCGGAGCUAAUACCGGAUAACAUUUGGAACCGCAUGGUUCUAAAGUGAAAGAUGGUUUUGCUAUCACUUAUAGAUGGACCCACGCCGUAUUAGCUAGUUGGUAAGGUAACGGCUUACCAAGGCGACGAUACGUAGCCGACCUGAGAGGGUGAUCGGCCACACUGGAACUGAGACACGGUCCAGACUCCUACGGGAGGCAGCAGUAGGGAAUCUUCCGCAAUGGGCGAAAGCCUGACGGAGCAACGCCGCGUGAGUGAUGAAGGGUUUCGGCUCGUAAAACUCUGUUAUUAGGGAAGAACAAAUGUGUAAGUAACUGUGCACGUCUUGACGGUACCUAAUCAGAAAGCCACGGCUAACUACGUG